rnacentral:rRNA from 4 species
UACGAAGGGUGCAAACGUUGCUCGGAAUUAUUGGGCGUAAAGCGCACGUAGGCGGCUUAGCAAGUCGGAAGUGAAAUCCCUCGGCUCAACCAAGGAAGUGCUUUCGAAACUGCUGAGCUUGAGUACUUAAGAGGAUCGCGGAAUUCCCGGUGUAGAGGUGAAAUUCGUAGAUAUCGGGAGGAACACCAGUGGCGAAGGCGGCGAUCUGGGAAGAUACUGACGCUGAGGUGCGAAAGCGUGGGGAGCAAACAGG